GAUGAACGCUGGCGGCGUGCCUAAUACAUGCAAGUCGAACGAGGUGCUUUGUAGCAAUACGAAGUAUCCUAGUGGCGAACGGGUGAGUAACGCGUUGGUGACCUACCCCAAAGUGUGGGAUAACAGUCCGAAAGGAUUGCUAAUACCACAUGUGGUCUCCGGGUUUAGAAACCGGUGACUAAAGGAGCAAUUCGCUUUGGGAGGGACCUGCGUCCCAUCAGCUAGUUGGUGAGGUAAUGGCUCACCAAGGCGACGACGGGUAGGGGACCUGAGAGGGUGGCCCCCCACAAUGGAACUGAAACACGGUCCAUACACCUACGGGAGGCAG
rnacentral:rRNA from 1 species